GAAAUACUCCCUCCGUCCCAAAAUUCUUGUCUUAGAUUUGUCUAAAUACGGAUGUAUCUAGUUACGUUUUAGUGUUAGAUAUAUCCAUAUCUAGACAAAUCUAAGACAAAAAUUUUGGGACGGAGGGAGUACUAC
rnacentral:pre_miRNA from 1 species